rnacentral:piRNA from 1 species
UUAUCACCGUGGAAUAGUUGAAGUGUUGGC